rnacentral:rRNA from 1 species
CAAUAGCGUAUAUUAACGUUGUUGCAGUUAAAAAGCUCGUAGUUGGAUUUCUGGAGGGAGCGUCGGCCCGUAUUUACGAGUGCGUGACGUCUCUGUCCAUCCUUGCGGGAAGGCACGGCAUUGAUUUGUUGUGUCGGAUCGCAUCAUUUACUGUGAAAAAAUUAGAGCGUUCAAAGCAGGCUUUCGCUUGAAUACAUUAGCAUGGAAUAAUAAGAUAGGACUUUGGUGCUAUUUUGUUGGUUGAGCCUAAAGUAAUGAUUAAUAGGGAUAGUUGGGGGCACCUGUAUUGCGUUGUCAGAGGUGAAAUUCUUGGAUUUACGCAAGACAAACAGCUGCGAAAGCGUCUGCCAAGGAUGUUUUCAUUAA